rnacentral:rRNA from 1 species
UACGUAGGGGGCAAGCGUUGUCCGGAUUUAUUGGGCGUAAAGAGCGUGUAGGCGGCCAAGCAGGUCCGCUGUGAAAACUCGAGGCUCAACCUCGAGACGUCGGUGGAAACCGUUUGGCUAGAGUCCGGAAGAGGAGAGUGGAAUUCCCGGUGUAGCGGUGAAAUGCGCAGAUAUCGGGAAGAACACCCGUGGCGAAGGCGGCUCUCUGGGACGGUACUGACGCUCAUGCACGAAAGCGUGGGGAGCAAACAGGG